GACGAACGUUGGCGGCGUGCUUAACACAUGCAAGUCGAACGGUGAAGGUGGAGCUUGCUCCGCCGGAUCAGUGGCGAACGGGUGAGUAACACGUGGGCAACCUGCCCCUGACUUCGGGAUAACUCCUCGAAAGAGGUGCUAAUACCGGAUACGAAUCCUGCAGGCAUCUGCGGGAUUGGAAAGUUUUUCGGUCAGGGAUGGGCACGCGGCCUAGCAGCUUGUUGGUGAGGUAGUGGCUCACCAAGGCGACGACGGGUAGCCGGCCUGAGAGGGCGACCGGCCACACUGGGACUGAGACACGGCCCAGACUCCUACGGGAGGCAGCAGUGGGGAAUCUUCCGCAAUGGACGAAAGUCUGACGGAGCAACGCCGUGUGAGUGAUGAAGGCUUUCGGGUCGUAAAACUCUGUUGUUAGGGAAGAACAAGUGCUAGUUGAAUAAGCUGACACCUUGACGGUACCUAACCAGAAAGCCACGGCUAACUACGUGCCAGCAGCCGCCGUAA
rnacentral:rRNA from 1 species